rnacentral:lncRNA from 1 species
GUCUUGUCUAUAGGUAUUUCCGUUGCUUCACUUCUCUCUAGCAAAGCCUGUUGUGUUUAAAAUUUCACAGGUGUCCAUGUGUUUUAUCUUGCUGUAAAAUGAAUAAAUAAUCUUUCUGUUAUGCAUCUCAGCUUCUGCCAGAAAUAGUUGGGAAAACAAUCCCCAUGCCCAUCUCACUUUUAAGUAAAGCUUAAAGCAAACAGUUGUCUAAAUUAAUGAUCAAGAUCAGGAUUAUAGCUUUUACAGCCUUGUGUUUUUCUUGGCUCCGUGUGGUAUUACAGCAAUGUAAUUUAAAAGCAGCUUCUCUCAGAGCUAGAAUUGUCUUUAGAAUUGGCGCAUGGGACUUGAUUUUAUGAGACAUGGAGCUGGUCUGGAUUAUUUCAUUAUUUGUUUCAUCCUUUCAGAUUUUAUGAAAACACAGGUCACAUUUCCCCCACCAAGGUAUUUGUUAUGUAUUGUAACCAUGGAGCUGUUUAAUCGGUUUGUCCUAUGGAGCUACGUUUGAGUGACUUGAAUUUUCCACCACAUG